AAAAACAAAGAAAAAUCCUCUGAAGAGGAUCCCUGGUCCUCUGAGCUCCGGCGUUUAGCCGAUCAGUUCUGGUCAUCGGACCUCCGCGCUGAGAACCACGCGCCGCCACCGACUCCGCCACACACGACGGUCGGAUCUUGAAAAGUUUCACUUUUCAAGGUGAUUCUCCAGGUAUACUCUCUCUAUCUAUUUAAUAUAUUAUAUGCAUAAGCUCAAGAUCAAGAGAAUGAAACGAAAAUAAAAAUAUGUCACCUUUGUCUUUUGUAAAAGAUCUCUGGUAUAUUAUUGCAAAAAAAACUCUGUGUACAAUAUUUUUUUGGUCUCUGCCUCCGUGUCUUUUUACAGAUUAAAAAGAAGGCUUUAUAGCCUCUACUACUACAAGUUUUGGAAAGAAAUCAUCGAUUUCUUUUCGUAUUUGCUUCGCAUGUUUGCUGUGAUUUUCUUUCCUUUUCUUGCAGGUACUUGCGAAAAAUCUGGCAAUAACAAAGGCCUGACGAUGGUCCACUGGUGGCGUUGAUCUCGGCGUGACUUGGGGCCUGGAAUCAUGGCCUUGACAGGGUAGCUGGAACAGUAGGAGCUGAAGAGUCAUGAGGCUUGGCUUCUGGAACCUUCUGUUUGCGGCGCAAGGAGAGAGGCAGAAACCCUAGGGUUUCAUGCCAUAGUGUAACAAGCUGGGCCACUUGGGCCCGUUUUGUCCUGGGUCCACUUGGGUCUGUUGUAAUGGGUCUUAGUUUUAGUGCAUCUGGGUAGGAUGUAAUAGUGGGCCUGCUAGUUAUUGUAACUGGGUAAGGUCUCUUGUAUUUGGGCCUGCUGUUUAGGCUUUUGUAUUUGGGUAAAGGACUAUUAAAAGACUUUAUAUUUUGAAAUUUUGGAUUAUGCCUUGGCUUCCAAUGGGCCGGGCAAAAUUGAGG
rnacentral:lncRNA from 1 species